ensembl:snRNA U6 U6 spliceosomal RNA
GUGCUUACUUUGGCAGCACAUAUAAUAAAAUUGGAACAAUACAGAGAAGAUUAGCAUGGUCCCUGUGCAAGGAUAACACACAAAUUCAUGAAGCAUUCUGUAUUUUU